UCCCUUCUGCGCCUGCGCGGCCUUCUCGUUAUUUAAGGGAACGGCCCCGCCCACUACAGGCAUUCCUUUCUGCGCCUGCGCGGUCUUCUCGUUAUUCAAGGGAACGGCCCCGCCCACUACAGGCAUCCCUUUCCCCCUUGUGCGCCUGUGCAGUCUUCUCAGCGUCGCCGGAAGCUCCUUGGCAGGGCGGCAAGAGCCUGAGCACGAUCGCUGAAGGAAGGAUCACUGAACCAGAAGAAGGCCUUUUGCCACGCCGACUCAGCCAGAGGCAGCUCGGCUCCUACAUGUGGAUUUCUGUUCUGGCGUCAGUUCUGUACCCCAAGAUUAAUAAAAAUAUAUACCGUCA